CAGCCAUGUGCGGGGAGGGGAUGGGAAGAGGGAGGGGGUUAAAUGCUAAUGAUAUUAAUGAACCUCCAAGCGGCUCCCAAAGAAAAUGCAGGCGCUGUCGGAGCUGCCGAGUUAGAGUGUGAAUAUGGGAGUGUGGCUCUGUGCGUGCGUGAUGGUGAGGACGGUGCUGCUCUUGUAAUAAAAAUGAAUUAUUAUAUUUCAUGGCAAGGGGAAGGGGAGGGGAAAUGGAGCAUUCUCAAAACGCUUUCCCCCUUCUCUCCAGAGCGCCAGACAGAUUCGUGGAAGAAACUGGGUGGCUGUGUGUUUGUGUGAUUGUGCGCACCGGAUAUGGCCAUGUGAGUUGGUUCAUUCUUGGUCCCGUGCCCUUUCUGUUGGGUAAAACUUGGAUCUGGUCCGAGCAAAUCACAGACUUGCUCAUCUCUUCUCGACUUUUCCCUGGCCCUUGUAUUUUUCUCACAAGAGCAAACAGGAAGACUAAUGAAGCGUAUUGAUCUAAUGGAAACUUGUGACCAGAUAAAUGAUCGAAACCUGGAUUGAAACCUGGAAGAAUGCACUUGAAAACUGUGCCCUACUCAUUUUCUCCAUGCUUGUCCUUUCUCAUAACGUUUGAUAUCUUGGCCAGUGGGAGAUAUUUUGCCGUUUGUCCAUCAUUUGUCAUGUGUUAUGUGAUGGAGGGGUCUCGUAGCAGCAGAAAAAAAGAGCAGCUUGUCCUGGGCUUUCCUUUCAAAGUCCCAUUAACAGGUUGUGUGAUGCUGUGUAAAUCACUUAACUAAGCUUUCCCCAGAAAGAUGGGAGAUGGGAGGACAGAAGUUUGGCCCUAGCAAACCCCUACCUACCCCCAAACAAUCGUUAGCUCAGUUUGUAGCCUAUCAGUGUCAGUAUAUGUUAAACUGUAGGCAAAAUGAAAAAUACUGCACUCAAAUAAGGUGUGUGUUAUAAAUUGAUAAGUGGAAAGAGGAGGUGAAGGAGACAAUUAAAACACUUGUAACAUAGGCUGAAAGUUGACCAGUUAACUAAAAGGCCUUUGGUUCCAUAAACUUAAUGGAGCAGCUGAAAAAGUAGAUGUUACAGUCAUUUUUAGGACUGCAAAUCUAUUAUAUUUUAGAUUUUUUUUCAUGUACUUCUAGACCUGUAAAAUCUUAUGAUUGCUGAAUCUGAAUUUCUAAUUAUUUUUUAUUUCUGAAUCUGAAACUCACUAAUGUCUUAUUUAAUUUUGUAACAAGAACAAAUACAUAUUUGAAAAAUAAUAAUGUGGGUCACCUGGUUGGCUCGGUCGGUGGAGUGUGCAACUCUUGAUCUUGGGGUUGUGGGUUUAAGCCCCAUGUUGGGUGUACAGAUUAC
rnacentral:lncRNA from 1 species